rnacentral:lncRNA from 1 species
CUCCAUGUGAAAGCCCUGUGGAAAGUUGCUUCUCCUAGUGUGGCUCGUGAUGGUUUUGCACAUUCAGAUUUGAGGAUUGUGGAUGCCCAAGAUUGCAUAAGGGAGGAGUCUGGAUCCCUGAGUCACAGUUUGGAGGACAGCCACUCAUGGGACCCAGCUGAACAGACCCUCUGGCAUGGGAUUUUAUGGAAGGGAAAAGGUUCAGAACUGGCCAGGUGAUGUUUUUAUUGGGAGGAAAGCUUGGAGAAUCAACAGGAGAAACAGAAAAGAACUUGCAGAACAACCCCUGGGCUACUGAGUUGAGAAAUUGGAGGCUUACUUUCCCACGCUGUCAAAUGGACUUCGGGAUUGACACAGCCUUGUUCAUGGAAAAAGAGACAAAGGAGAUUGGAGCCAUGGAUGGAGAAGAAGUUGAGUUGGAUCAGGCUGCAAGAUCGAAGGGGACAAGAAAGCUGAUGUUAAUGCCUACAGGUACUGAAUCUGAGGCUCCGAAGGAGACUUGCUGUCACUUCAUGGCCCCAAGGCCCCUUCCUGCUCAAUAGAGCUACUUGGAGCAGCCCCCCGUGGCUUCUCCUGACAGUGCAGGAUCCUUCAGAUCCGAGUCUAGGAGGAGCAUGGACUCGAUGCUUUUGUUCUUUUUCCAAUGACUUACACCUCGAGGGCCCAUAUCAAAGCCCCUUACCCAUGUCAUGGAGUCUCUUGGAGGAAGGAUUAUUGUGUUGGUCAGAGGAGAUAAAAAGAAAAGAUUUUUUUCAUGAAGAAAAGAAGAGCAGGAAUAUACUGGUGCACUUCCAAAACAGCAAAAAAUAAAGGGUCCUGCUUACUUACUUUUUUAACCUGGUGCAAACUCUUAUUUAUCCCCAAAACAAAUCUGCUUUGCUUCCUUUACUUCCCCCUGGAGGCUGACGCCCAAGGCCAUGGAAUGAAAGGACUUCCAGUGGAAAGCCAUAGGUAAGUCAGCCUGCUAUUCAGUAUCUUUUCUUAUACAACAGUUACUUGUAAACUAAUCAAUAAACUUCUUAUUUUGUUUACUUCUUUAGAACUCUUAGCAGGUGCCCACUGAACCAUGAAGAAACUUAAAAUAGCCAUGAUCUCCCUUUAUGCUGCCACCUCUUCCCCGUAGCCCACUCAUGGUGUUUAGACUCAAGGCCACAUGAAGCUAAUCUGUAUGGAAAUAAAGGAUAGAAAUAUUCAGAUUGAGUUUUACUAAGUAAACCUGAGGUUUCUCUGUUCAGCAAAAUAGACCAGGUAAAUGAGUUUCUGAUACAGAAUAAAUCACUAGUUUGAAGACCUAUAUUUCCCUUUUGCCAUUUUGCUUAGAAGGGAAGAAUUUGCAACCUUCUGCAUGGAUGUGAAAAGCACCAGACCCUCCCCCCUGAGGUAGUUCCCUGAGUUGGACUCAUUUUCCUAUUAAGAUCUGAGAGUCUGCAUUUCAGCUGGGGGCUGGAGAUGCAGGGGUCUUCACAAGGGCCCAAGAAAGGGAGAGACAGGGAUGUGUUUAUAGAGCACCUCACAAGCCAGGUUUCAAGGCCUCACUCAAGGCAUAGGACCUAGUCUGUGGCUUUGGGAAACAGACCAGCAUCACAUAGCAUGGUGAAUACAAAGUCUGAGGCAUGUCCAGAUGUGCCUUGGGCAAGCGAGGAGGGAGCCAGGCAGCAACACAGAGUCAGGCCCAUCUUUCUGAAGCACUACUGCUGGAGCAGGCCUCUCACCCAUUUGGUCAUCUGAUCAACCAUAUCUGAUAAAUGCGGGUACCUUCUAGGAGCACAGCAGUGAGGAAGACAGCGCCCUUCUCUUGUGAAGCAUAUAGUUUUAGUGCAUCUUAAAACAUAGGCUGGGGGGCUGGGAAGAGGCAGGGGCAGGAGAGGGAAGGUGUUUCAAUGCACAGAAGGAACACACGUGUGGAAGCAGGAAGUAGCUCAGUGUUUUCUGAAGCUACACUAAGGUCCUUGAUGCACCAUGGAACCCUUGAGGCUGGAGUGGAGAGAAACGACUGUCGGGAGGUCCUGUGGCUGGUUUGCCCAGGAGACCAAGUGAAAAAACACUAGAAUAUUCUCUCUGUAAUGGUCAUCCCACAUCCUUCCAUCUUAGAGAUGGUUCUUUUUUCUCUAUGGCUCACAUGUGUCAGCGUGCCUGUGCUGUCAUCGAUAUUACAGGGAGGAGGUAAAGGAAGAAAGCCAUGGACAGGUGCUGAUUUGGACUUCAGAGAAGACCUUUGCCCUAGGCCCAGGUGGCUCAGGAUGGGCAGAGGUUGGGUAAGGAUAGUAGGUGAGGCCAUGAAUAGCCCUUGUUGAAGGGACAGAAUCCACCCCAGGGUGAGCACGGCUUCCUGUUUACUGAUGCCAUGUGGGGCCUUAGGAACUUUCCAAGCGUCGGCCAUUUUGUUCUGUGAAAACAUCGGUUUCAUAUACUUCACUUGACCUGUUCCCAGAGUAGUUAAGGGCUUUUUAUGUUUGUCAUCUUGCAAUGUCACAUAUCAUCUAGUUGAGGCAUAUACUGUUGGGGCUCUCAUUCAAUAGCUGAGGAAGUUGAAGCUCAGCAAGUUAACAUUAAUUGCCCAAAGCCAUUUAACCAGAGAAAUCAGGGCUCAGACUGAACUCUGUUCAGCAUCCAUGUCUGACUGUGGUGUUGAGGCUCAAGGGCCUCUGCUUUCCCUGGACAGGAGCCUGUGGGGCCAUUGGAAGCCCCAUGGCCCAUGUGGGCCCCAUCUCUCUACGCUUUGAAGCUCAUCCGACUGUGAGUGUUGAAGUUGCUUCAUGGGCUGGAACUUCAAGGAACUGGAGGACAAGGCCUAGGCCUUCUGUUGGAGACUUGGCUUCUGAUAAGGGAGAAGGCCAGGAUGAAUCCUGGGUCUGUUUUGAGUUGACUCAGUCUCUCCAGAGGUUUCUUGUGUUGACUGUCUCAGCACCUGUCUUCCCCACCUUGUCACACAUCCUACUCUGUCAGGAAAUAUUCCGUUACUGAAGUUAAUGUCAGGAUUAUAGAGUUGCCAUCCCCUUCUCAGAUCUCUCCCUCAGCCUUGUCUCUAGUCAGCAGGGGGAUCUCUGCUCAUCAGAGUCACACACGACCCCAGUUGAAGGAAGCUUCCUCUCACAUGUAUUUCUACAGUCACCUUGGCACAGAAGAAACAUGUCAAGCUAUGCACUUGUUCUUAAAUCUUCCUAAGAAAGGACACACAUCACUCAUGCUUACAUUUCACUGGCCAAAGAAAGUCACAUGGCCAUAGCUAUCUUUAGGUGAAUAUAAUCUUAUGAAGUGCCUGGAAGGCAGAAUACAGGAAAUGUUUAGGGAGAGCAUCACUAACUUCUGUAGCAGUUCAGAAUGGUAGGAAGAAUGUGAGCAUAUCCCUUGGCCAUUGGACAUGUGUCUGGUGGAGAGCUGAUUCAACAGAAUGUGAGGCUAAACCAAGCAAGCUCUAACACAGAAAUCAUGAGGGCUGGUCUGAGUGCAAUGCCACCACCGAUGGCUGCUGUAGGACCAGAGGUCAGAACUAAGUGAGCAAGAAGAUUUACUUGGUAGCACAUCUCCAUAUUUUCACUUUUUGCUUGGUCGUUCACCUCUAGUAGCUCUGACCGCAGGAAGUAGCCUCAUUUGACUGAUUCAUAAUUAACCUUAUAGUCUUCCUAUAAGAAAGACAACUAUAAUUUUAUGGGGAGUCAUGUCAGAAUACCAUUCUAGAAUCUCUCCCUGAAUCAGGCAAGCCAGAUUGACAUUCUGAAGUCUUGCUUUGGACAGUUCUUAGUCACGGGGAUGAAUUGCAUACUAUAAAAUAUUAUCACUUUAUUAAUGUAUUAAUGUCAAAUACAGUAAAUUUAUUUAUGCAUCUUUGUGUGAUAGAAAAACAUCAAUGAAUACUUUCAAAUUUUGAUGUGUCCGAUGUGAUUAGAACAAUGCUAGGAGACAAGAAAAGCAAGUUACUGACUUAGUCUGUAUUGUGAUGUGACAUAGUUCCACUUUGCCAUCGUUUAAACACCAUCUAGGCUCUGGAGGUAGCAGAG